GAUGAACGCUAGCGGCAGGCCUAACACAUGCAAGUCGAGGGAGAGGUUAUCUUCGGGUAACCAAAACCGGCGCACGGGUGCGUAACGCGUAUACAAUCUGCCUUUCACAUAGGGAUAGCCCGAAGAAAUUUGGAUUAAUACCUAAUGGUAUAUAGGAGCGGCAUCGUUUUUAUAUUAAAGCUACGGUGGUGAAAGAUGAGUAUGCGUUCUAUUAGCUAGUUGGAGAGGUAACGGCUCCCCAAGGCGACGAUAGAUAGGGGUUCUGAGAGGGAUGUCCCCCACACUGGUACUGAGAUACGGACCAGACUCCUACGGGAGGCAGCAGUGAGGAAUAUUGGACAAUGGUCGGAAGACUGAUCCAGCCAUGCCGCGUGCAGGAUGAAGGUCCUAUGGAUUGUAAACUGCUUUUGUAAGGGAAGAAUAAGGAGUACGUGUACUUUGAUGACGGUACCUUACGAAUAAGCAUCGGCUAACUCCGUGCCAGCAGCCGCGGUAAUACGGAGGAUGCGAGCGUUAUCCGGAAUCAUUGGGUUUAAAGGGUCCGUAGGCGGGCUGAUAAGUCAGAGGUGAAAGCGCUUAGCUCAACUAAGCAACUGCCUUUGAAACUGUCAGUCUUGAAUGAUUGUGAAGUAGUUGGAAUGUGUAGUGUAGCGGUGAAAUGCUUAGAUAUUACACAGAACACCGAUAGCGAAGGCAUAUUACUAACAAUUUAUUGACGCUGAUGGACGAAGGCGUGGGGAGCGAACAGG
rnacentral:rRNA from 1 species